AUUCCGUAGGUGAACCUGCGGAAGGAUCAUUACUGAGUGAGGGCCCCUCGGGGUCCAACCUCCCACCCGUGUUUAACGAACCUUGUUGCUUCGGCGGGCCCGCCUCACGGCCGCCGGGGGGCAUCUGCCCCCGGGCCCGCGCCCGCCGAAGCCACCUGUGAACGCUGUCUGAAGUAUGCAGUCUGAGACAAUUAUUAAAUUAAUUAGAACUUUCAACAACGGAUCUCUUGGUUCCG
rnacentral:misc_RNA from 1 species